CGGCCUAAUUCCGAUUUAUCUCAUCUUAUUCUCUCACAGAAUAUUAUUGAUUCAGUCGAAAUCAGAUCAGUCGAAACCAGCGAUACUUAGGCAUUUGGCAACCCAGUGUCACAGUGACAGUAACUCAUCACUCAUCUCCGAAAGCACGGCGUACAUGUGGCCCUUCUCGCGGCGCCUAGCUGCCGGUCGAUCUGAGUGGCUC